GCAUUUAUGAGAGAAAGCAAUUUCCUUGGUAAGGAAGGAAGCGUCCAUCAGACUUUAUGACACAAAUAUGGUAAAGUCAUUGACACCUACUUCGCGGCAUCUAAUUACAGAUUUUU
rnacentral:ncRNA from 1 species